GAUGCCUUGAGCACCGGCCUAUGGUCUGUAAGGCUUUUUUCCUGCUGCUUUAUGACUGAGGAGAACUUCCCAGGCUUUGCUUUGGCCUCAGCUGUACUGAAGGCUGGGUUGCUGGGCACAAGCAGCCCAGAGCAGCUGCUAUUGUGAGGUCAAGGGAGCGGUGCCACGUCACAGUGCUGUCAGCGCAGCCUUGUCCCGGUGCGCGCAAGGCCUGGCUGUCCAGAGCAGCUCUUGCGCUCGCUCCCUGCAGGAGGAUCCUUGUGAUCAAGGAGUUCUCAGCAGACGGCCUGCACCCCGAGAGGAGUCUUGGUUUUUCCCUUGGGUGGCAUUCAGUGUGCAAACCCGCACGGCGCUGCUAAGAUGAUCCAGCAAGUCUGUGCCGCGGUUUGCACCGUCUUUUCUCUUGCUUAUUCUGGCUACUACCUGACCCAGCUGACUCGUCACUUCACGCGCAGAUGGAGGCAAGCCUGUCCUUUGGGCUCAGCAGCAGGGUCAGCACCUCCUCUGGCUCCCUCUCUUGUUGAGGAAGAGGCUGAAGAGGAGCAAAGGAGCACCAAGCCUCCACCUGCAGUCCCUCCACAGCCUGAACUUGCAGAGCCAGUAAGUGGCAGCUGAGGUUGGCGCUGCCUUUGGUGCAGAGGCGAGCUUCAAGGUUUGGAUGAGCCAGCCCUUGGUACUUGUGGCUGAGGAUGCUGGCGGCUGUGUGCCUGCCACGACGUAGUGGCUGCUUCAGCCAAGCCAGGCAGCCCUGG